ACGUAGCAGAUUUUUUUGAUAGUCGUAAUUAAAUAUUUUGGAUAAAUUUAAUUUUUGAAUGAAACACUUCCUUCUCGUUCAUUGCAUUAUCUGUUGCAUUUCAAAUGCAAAUAUUUAUGUUUAUCUGUUGUAGGGUUGCCAUACAACAAGUAUUAUUCGAAAUUGUAGGUAUUUUGGCUGUCAUUCCAGAAAAACUUUGUAUUAUUUUGAUAUAGUUUAGGUAUUGAUUUUUGGAAAAUAUAAUAUUUUAGAAACAUGAUAACAAAUGUUAUCAUAGGUUUUUUAAGGCUGUUCUGGAAUGACAUUUGUUGGGUUUUGUUUACUUCGAGGUCUGAUAUAGAAACUGGAGUAAUUUUCAUUUAAUUAAUUAGAGAUUUUUAUUGUUUAUUCGUUUGCCACCCGGCUUUUGUUUUGGGUCCUUUAAAUUCGAGAUCAUUCAGUGCGGCGUUCUUUUUGUAACGAGAUCCUCUUGCAUAGUGAUCGGACGGCCGUAUAAGGGCCUGGAGCCCGGCAUGCCACGUGCUGCCGUGGCGUUCCAUAUUUUGUGUGGUGCGUUGCGUCAGUCUGACUGGCAGAAACAUGCUAAGGGUGGGAGUGCUCCGUGGAGAUCCUCGGUCUGCAGUCUGCAGGUCUCCGGAGUCGGGCAGAAGUAAAGAAUUAAAGAAGUAAAAGCUUUUAACAAUUUUGAUGUGCAAGGAAACUUCUUUGGCUUACUGGCGCAAGGUGUCUUUGGACCUUGUUUUCGUAUGGAAGGGUCAGCCCUGUCCACGUGGCGAGGGGGCGACAGCACCGGAGUCCGGGGAGCAGCCGGCUCAUCCCUGACAAGGUGUGUCUCCUGCCCGUUUCCUGCCGGUAGUGCUGUGUAAUUCAGGUUUUAAUUUCUGUGUAAAGUAAUUUCUGAUUUCAUUUAUUUUGAGAAUUCUGGUGCAUAACUUUAGGUAAAUUCCUAUUUAGUUUUGUAGAAUAAAUGGUUGUAAGAAACCUUUUCCUGGACCCUCUUAAAGCGGCCCAGCUUUACCACUGAGCGUCGUUCAUAUUUUUAUAUGGUGUCGAAUUUAGUAUAACUCACUAAUUUCUGUUUAGGCAAGAAUUAAUAUAUAUUUAAUAAAGUUAUAAAAUGU
rnacentral:lncRNA from 1 species